rnacentral:tRNA from 1 species
CGGGAAGUAGUUCAGUUGGCAGAACGCGUGCUUUGGGAGCAUGAGGUCGCAGGUUCGAAUCCUGUCUUCCCGA